ACGUAGGGUGCGAGCGUUAAUCGGAAUUACUGGGCGUAAAGCGUGCGCAGGCGGUUCGCUAAGACAGGUGUGAAAUCCCCGGGCUUAACCUGGGAAUGGCGUUUUGAACUGGCAGUCUAGAGUGCGGCAGAGGGGGAUGGAAUUCCGCGUGUAGCAGUGAAAUGCGUAGAUAUGCGGAGGAACACCGAUGGCGAAGGCAAUCCCCUGGGCCUGCACUGACGCUCAUGCACGAAAGCGUGGGGAGCAAACAG
rnacentral:rRNA from 1 species